rnacentral:rRNA from 1 species
AUGAUGUGAUUUAAUUCGAUGCAACGCGAAAAACCUUACCUACCCUUGACAUGUCUAGAAGUUACCAGAGAUGGUUUCGUGCUCGAAAGAGAACUAGAACACAGGUGCUGCAUGGCCGUCGUYAGYUCSUGUCGUGAGAUGUUGGGUUAAGUCCCGCAACGAGCGCAACCCUUGUCAUUAGUUGCUACGUAAGGGCACUCUAAUGAGACUGCCGGUGACAAACCGGAGGAAGGUGGGGAUGACGUCAGGUCAUCAUGGCCCUUAUGGGUAGGGCUACACACGUCAUACAAUGGCCGGUACAGAGGGCUGCCAACCCGCGAGGGGGAGCCAAUCCCAGAAAACCGGUCGUAGUCCGGAUCGCAGUCUGCAACUCGACUGCGUGAAGUCGGAAUCGCUAGUAAUCGCGGAUCAGCUUGCCGCGGUGAAUACGUUCCCGGGUCUUGUACACACCGCCCGUCACACCAUGGGAGCGGGUUCUGCCAGAAGUAGUUAGCCUAACCGCAAGGAGGGCGAUUACCACGGCAGGGUUCGUGACUGGGGUGAA